UCUAAAGUGGCAGAAAUCAAAUGCAAUGAACUUAAAAUUCAUCAAUAAACCUAAAGUUUCAUUAGAA
rnacentral:tRNA from 1 species